rnacentral:snRNA from 1 species
CCUAGAACCCACAAAGGGUG